AUUGAACGCUGGCGGCAGGCCUAACACAUGCAAGUCGAGCGGAUGAAGGGAGCUUGCUCCUGGAUUCAGCGGCGGACGGGUGAGUAAUGCCUAGGAAUCUGCCUGGUAGUGGGGGAUAACGUCCGGAAACGGGCGCUAAUACCGCAUACGUCCUGAGGGAGAAAGUGGGGGAUCUUCGGACCUCACGCUAUCAGAUGAGCCUAGGUCGGAUUAGCUAGUUGGUGGGGUAAAGGCCUACCGAGGCGACGAUCCGUAACUGGUCUGAGAGGAUGAUCAGUCACACUGGAACUGAGACACGGUCCAGACUCCUACGGGAGGCAGCAGUGGGGAAUAUUGGACAAUGGGCGAAAGCCUGAUCCAGCCAUGCCGCGUGUGUGAAGAAGGUCUUCGGAUUGCAAAGCACUUUAAGUUGGGAGGAAGGGCAGUAAGUUAAUACCUUGCUGUUUUGACGUUACCAACAGAAUAAGCACCGGCUAACUUCGUG
rnacentral:rRNA from 1 species